rnacentral:SRP_RNA from 1 species
GUGGCUGUAAUGGCCCCAAGGUGGGAAUGCGAGGCGAUGUUCUCCCUCAACGGAGUCACGUGCUUGUGCGCCGAGUUCAAGACUGUCCCCUCCAGAAAACUUUGGUGUCCAUAGUCCCUCGCAGCGUAGGCUGUGGCCGGAUUUGGAGUAAUCAGCCCUUGUCUAGCCAGGGAAGAAAUUCCGCAGCUAGCAGGACUCACCGAGUUAGUCUUAGGAGAUCAGGGCACGUCAUCUGUCGCGCGGGUGCGCCGUGUCCCUCGUAGACCUU